rnacentral:lncRNA from 10 species
UGCCCACUAAUCAGAAGUAAGUUGCAAUUAGACUGAAGUUAGAAAGUAAUGGCAUAGUAGUUACCUGUUUGCUCACAGGACUAUUGCCUGCAGGUGACCUGGUCCCUCCUUCUUUUUCUGGCCACAUUGCUUUUCAUUCCACAUCAAGCCCCGUGGGACACCCACACUAACCUCUACCUAACCAGGCUUUCUUCCCCAGGCAUUUGUAUAUACUGUUUCCUUUCCAUGGAACACCCUGUAGCCCGAUAUCCACGUGCCACUCACACCCUGUCCUUUGCCAACUCCUGGGGUCUGGAGACCUGCCUGCCACGGCUGCUGAAGUGCAGGCCCAAGUCUAGGAACAAGGGCUUUGCAGGUGGAAGACUCCAGGGGCUCCAUGCUGAAAAACGAUGGUACAUGGGAAAGCUAGAACUGAAACCCAGAGCAUCUGGUAUCCAUGACUCAAAUCCAGAACCUCAACAUUAAACUGAGACUCUCUCACUGUACCACAC